AACCUCACACUCAAGAGAUUUUUUCUCUUGAGACGUGGAUUUGGGUGUUGCAAUCUGCUCACCUUAAAUGACUUAGUGGUACGAACCCGUAGCCUGAUGUAAUAAGUUUCAUCUGGUCAAGGAGAAGACUGCUUCGAAUCGCCUUCACUGGCACUAUUUAAG
rnacentral:misc_RNA from 1 species